CGUUUUCAUCUCCCCCUCAAACUGCCGCAGCUCUCUUCUUCUACUACCUCUCACGGCAGAGAGCCUCCAAAGGCCUCCAUAGCUUCUACCGACCACCAACGAAUAAAAUGGGGAAAAAACUGUCCCCUAAACAAGACCAAACUAACUCCUCUUCUCCACUCUUUCUUUCCACUCUCGACCGAGAGUUCUAGAACUCUCUAUUCCGGCCACCAAGCUUCGGUGGCUACCUCCAUCUCCAACUAUCACCAUGGUGGUUACCUUCAAGAGACCGACGACUGACUAUUAAUCCAGGAACAUAUUGCUCACCGACACUCGACCGGCCACCAUACGAUGGUAGCACUCCUUACCUCAACCACCACAGGACUUGACCACAUAAGAUGAUUGUGUAGUAUCAGUUUCAAUUGUGGCAUGAUUGGAGACGACUCAUACGCGUGGAUGGGAGCAGCAGUGAAGCACAGACGCAUCUAUGGUGGCUGGCGGGUCUUGUAACCUGGUCUGGAUUUGGGUCUGGAUCUGGGUCUUGGGCUUGAACCAACAUCUUGUAAUUGGGUUGAUAUAUGUA